AUGAACGCUGGCGGCGUGCCUAAUACAUGCAAGUCGAGCGAACUGACGAGGAGCUUGCUCCUCUGACGUUAGCGGCGGACGGGUGAGUAACACGUGGAUAACCUACCUAUAAGACUGGGAUAACUUCGGGAAACCGGAGCUAAUCCCGGAUAAUAUAUUGAACCGCAUGGUUCAAUAGUGAAAGACGGUUUUGCUGUCACUUAUAGAUGGAUCCGCGCCGCAUUAGCUAGUUGGUAAGGUAACGGCUUACCAAGGCAACGAUGCGUAGCCGACCUGAGAGGGUGAUCGGCCACACUGGAACUGAGACACGGUCCAGACUCCUACGGGAGGCAGCAGUAGGGAAUCUUCCGCAAUGGGCGAAAGCCUGACGGAGCAACGCCGCGUGAGUGAUGAAGGUCUUCGGAUCGUAAAACUCUGUUAUUAGGAAAGAACAAAUGUGUAAGUAACUAUGCACGUCUUGACGGUACCUAAUCAGAAAGCCACGGCUAACUACGUG
rnacentral:rRNA from 1 species